rnacentral:rRNA from 1 species
GAUGAACGCUGGCGGCGUGCCUAAUACAUGCAAGUCGAGCGAACAGAUAAGGAGCUUGCUCCUUUGACGUUAGCGGCGGACGGGUGAGUAACACGUGGAUAACCUACCUAUAAGACUGGGAUAACUUCGGGAAACCGGAGCUAAUACCGGAUAACAUAUUGAACCGCAUGGUUCAAUAGUGAAAGGCGGCUUUGCUGUCACUUAUAGAUGGAUCCGCGCCGUAUUAGCUAGUUGGUAAGGUAACGGCUUACCAAGGCAACGAUACGUAGCCGACCUGAGAGGGUGAUCGGCCACACUGGAACUGAGACACGGUCCAGACUCCUACGGGAGGCAGCAGUAGGGAAUCUUCCGCAAUGGGCGAAAGCCUGACGGAGCAACGCCGCGUGAGUGAUGAAGGUCUUCGGAUCGUAAAACUCUGUUAUCAGGGAAGAACAAAUGUGUAAGUAACUGUGCACAUCUUGACGGUACCUGAUCAGAAAGCCACGGCUAACUACGUGCCAGCAGCCGCGGUAAUACGUAGGUGGCAAGCGUUAUCCGGAAUUAUUGGGCGUAAAGCGCGCGUAGGCGGUUUUUUAAGUCUGAUGUGAAAGCCCACCGGCUCAACCGUGGAGGGUCAUUGGAAACUGGAAAACUUGAGUGCAGAAGAGGAAAGUGGAAUUCCAUGUGUAGCGGUGAAAUGCGCAGAGAUAUGGAGGAACACCAGUGGCGAAGGCGACUUUCUGGUCUGUAACUGACGCUGAUGUGCGAAAGCGUGGGGAUCAAACAGGAUUAGAUACCCUGGUAGUCCACGCCGUAAACGAUGAGUGCUAAGUGUUAGGGGGUUUCCGCCCCUUAGUGCUGCAGCUAACGCAUUAAGCACUCCGCCUGGGGAGUACGACCGCAAGGUUGAAACUCAAAGGAAUUGACGGGGACCCGCACAAGCGGUGAAGCAUGUGGUUUAAUUCGAAGCAACGCGAAGAACCUUACCAAAUCUUGACAUCCUUUGACCGCUCUAGAGAUAGAGUCUUCCCCUUCGGGGGACAAAGUGACAGGUGGUGCAUGGUUGUCGUCAGCUCGUGUCGUGAGAUGUUGGGUUAAGUCCCGCAACGAGCGCAACCCUUAAGCUUAGUUGCCAUCAUUAAGUUGGGCACUCUAAGUUGACUGCCGGUGACAAACCGGAGGAAGGUGGGGAUGACGUCAAAUCAUCAUGCCCCUUAUGAUUUGGGCUACACACGUGCUACAAUGGACAAUACAAAGGGCAGCUAAACCGCGAGGUCAAGCAAAUCCCAUAAAGUUGUUCUCAGUUCGGAUUGUAGUCUGCAACUCGACUACAUGAAGCUGGAAUCGCUAGUAAUCGUAGAUCAGCAUGCUACGGUGAAUACGUUCCCGGGUCU